AGAACUGAUGAUCCGACAGGCGGAAUGAGGGAGUAACGCCCCGAAACGUCUGCCCUGAACCUACGUUAUGCAAAGCGGCGUGUGAUAGCUGCAAUGUAUAGAGCACGUUAAAGUCGGCAGAAAACAGCCCAAACAGAUAAUGCUGUGGAAAGCUGUUCAGAGAUUAACGGCGCUGCCCAUAUGCCGGGGGUCUAUAAA
rnacentral:ncRNA from 1 species